rnacentral:rRNA from 1 species
GGGGUACGAGAAGGCCGCUACACAGCGAUGUGAUGCCAAUCCCUAAAGCCCCUCUCAGUUCGGAUCGAAGUCUGCAACCCGACUUCGUGAAGCUGAAUUCGCUAGUAAUCGCGCAUCAGCCACGGCGCGGUGAAUACGUUCCCGGGCCCUGUACACACCGCCCGUCAAGCCAUGGGAGCCGGGGGUACCUGAAGUGCGCUGCCGCAAGGAGCGCCCUAGGGUAAAACCGGUGACUGGGGCUAAGUCGUAACAAGGUAAC